rnacentral:rRNA from 1 species
AAUGAACGUUGGCGGCGUGGAUUAGGCAUGCAAGUCGAGCGUACCCAGCAAUGGGGAAGCGGCAAACGGGGUAGUAAGGCGUCGGUACGUGCCCUCGGGACGAGGAUAGCCACGGGAAACUGUGGGUAAUACUCGAUGAUCUCGCGAGAGCAAAGGUGUGACUCCGCCGGAGGAGCGGCUGACGUGGUAUUAGGUAGUUGGUAGGGUAAUGGCCUACCAAGCCUGGGAUGCCUAGGGGGUGUGAGAGCAUGGCCCCCACCAUUGGGGCUGAGAAACUGCCCAGACACCUACGGGUGGCUGCAGUCGAGGAUCUUCGGCAAUGGGCGCAAGCCUGACCGAGCGACGCCGCGUGCGGGAUGAAGGCC